CAAAAACAGAUCCUGCUUUUAAAGCCCAUCCUCCUCUCCUUCCUUGUCCUCUGCUUACCCAACACUGCCCCACACUGAACCCAUAUGCAUACACUCACAUUCAAACAUCCCACCUUCACCUGUAGCUCCCAAGAUGGCCAACAUCAAGAAGACAGGACCCUGUCUCCUGCCAAGUCUCCUUCUUCAUCGACUGGGUCUAUUGCCUCCAGCAGAAAAUACCCAUACCCGAUGCCUCCACUGCCUGAUGAAGAGAAGACAGCAAACCGACAGAGUGCCAGGCUCUGGGAGACAUCCAUUUAAGAGCAACUGUUUACAAGCAACACAUCGAAACUGUUUACUUCUACUUUUAUAGAGACCCAGACACCCACCAUCACUACAAAUCUAUCUGCUCUUCAG